GUGCUCGCUUUGGCAGCACAUAUACUGAAAUUGGAACGAUACAGAGAAGAGAAGAUUAGCAUGGCCCCUGCGCAAGGAUGACACACAAAUUCGUGAAGUGUUCCAUAUUUUU
rnacentral:snRNA from 1 species